rnacentral:tRNA from 1 species
GCAUCGGUGGUUCAGUGGUAGAAUGCUCGCCUGCCACACGGGCGGCCCAGGUUCGAUUCCCGGCCGAUGCA